UGAUCUCUGCUAGCUGAGGAACAUUUCUGC
rnacentral:piRNA from 2 species